rnacentral:lncRNA from 1 species
GAGUCUUGUGGCGCGGUGGGGCGCGGACCCGGAACCGCCAAGUGGUGAAGGCGCCUCCAGGUGGUGCCCGCUGGUCUGUAGGGUGUCAGCGGCGCUGUCUUCCUGCGAUACCGGAGCGCACAAAAUACUUGGUCCCCAGACCGAGAACGCACCUCUACCUGGGUCCUGGGCCCCAUUUCACAGACUGAGAUGCGUGAAGCGCCUCCUUUAGAAGAGCUGACGAUUCUUAACAAACCAAGUUUUGCAUGAUUUUGGUGAGGCGGCGCUACCCCAGGAACGCCUGGAGGGCCUGCACCACGAAACUGGACAGCCAUGGAUGUGUAACCUCUUUUUGGGCCUGAGAGACAGACCUUUCUCUCCACUCAGAGCUCCGGCUUCAGCUAUUGUGCUUCAGAAUGCCACUACCAUCAGAUAUGCCAUCUACAGAACUUAACACCUGAGCACCCACCCUUCAGGGCCACCCAUGGGCCCAAAACGGGAUAAAGGAGCCAUUCCCUGACAUAGGAGGAAAACAUUCGCUGAGAAGCCACUGUGUGCCAGACACAAUCUUGGACUUUCACUUAAUCCUCAAAACAGCCCUAGGAAGAAGUACCUACCGUUAACAGAUAAGAAAGCUGAGACCCACGGUUUACAUAGCUAAGGAGAGCAAAGGUUUUAACCCAGGACUAUCCUGACUCCACAGCAUCAAAGUUGUUGUUUUGUUUUUGGUGUUUUGUAGAAAUAGGAUCUCCCUAUUAUUACCCAGGCUGGUCUCAAACUCCUGGGCUCCAGCAGUGUUCCCACCUCAGCCUCUCAAAGUGCUGGGAUUACAGGCAAGAGCCACCACACCUGGCUGAUGAAUAGGAAUUGGGUACACAUUUUUGAAAAUUAAAUACCAAAUUACCAUUACACAAUGCCGAACAUCCCUCCUUUGUCCCGUUCCCAGGAUUUUUUCCAGAAGAUGGACUCACAUUAUGAUGGCCCCUUUUUUCCACAGAAUGUUCCCAAUGAAAAUUUCUGAAAUGAUGGGAAUGUUCUAAAUAUGUGCUGUCCGAAAUAGUAACCAUUAGCCACAUAUGGCUAUUGAGCACUUUAAAUGUGGCUAGCAUAACUGAAAGGCCAACUUUUUAUUUAAAUUUAAAUUUAGAUAGCAAACCGUGGCUAAUCAUAAUAAUAGCUUAAGAGAGAAAUGGUGAGCAGGGUUACUGGGAGAGGUAUUUUCCUAUAAGCUCUGGAUAUACAGUUGACCCAUGAACAACAAGGGUUUGAACUGCAUGGGUCCACUAAUACAACCCUUGUUUUGUUUUGUUUUGUUUUCAAUAAAUACAGUCAGCCUUCCCUAUCAGAGGGUUCCACAUCCACGAUGAAACAUGGUUGGAAAAUACGGUAUGGGAUGUGAAACCUGCGUAUAGGGUGGGCUGACUUUUCAUUUCCAUAGGUUCUGCAGGGUCAACUAUAGUACAUGAGUAUACUCACAUUUUAGUAUCCUAAUAGAUCCUGGAACCAAUACCUGGCGGAAAAUGGGGAACAAUUGCAUAACAGUAUUCAAGGGACUGGGUAUGAUGGCUUGCACCUGUAAUCCCAGCACUUUUGGAGGCCAAGGCAGAACAGGAGUUCAAGACCAGCCUGGGAAAUAUGGUGAAACCCCUUUUCUACAAAAAACUUAGCCAAGCAUGGCAUAUUUGUGUAAUGCCAUUUGCAUGACCCACAUGGUCACCCUGGACCCCGUGGAUCAGGCCCUGCCUGGUGCCACCACCACCACUUCUGUGCCAGGCCCCCAGCGUGAUGGCAAGUUGCAUGAUGCUCUUUGCCGUAGUGCCUUUUAAUGGCAUAGCUUUGGCAGGUUUGGAGAUGUUCAGAAUAGGCAAAUCUAUAGAGCCUGUGGUGGAUUUGUGGUUGUCUAAGGCCCUGGUGGAAGGGAGCAUAGGUGAAUUGGAGGGGACGAUUAAAAGGUGUGAGAUUUCAUUUUGGGGUGAUGAAAAUGUUCUAAAAUUGGUUGUGGUAAUGGUUAUACAACUCUGAAUAUACUAAAAGGCAUUGAAUUGUACACUUUCAAUAUGUGAGUUAUAUCUCAAUAAAGUUAUUUUACAAAAAAA